GUAGCGGCGAGCGAAGCGGGAAGAGCUCAAAUUUAUAAUCUGGCACCUUCGGUGUCCGAGUUGUAAUCUCUAGAAGUGUUUUCCGCGUUGGACCGCACACAAGUCUGUUGGAAUACAGCGGCAUAGUGGUGAAACCCCCGUAUAUGGUGCGGACGCCCAGCGCUUUGUGAUACACUUUCAAUGAGUCGAGUUGUUUGGGAAUGCAGCUCAAAUUGGGUGGUAAAUUCCAUCUAAAGCUAAAUAUUGGCGAGAGACCGAUAGCGAACAAGUACCGUGAGGGAAAGAUGAAAAGCACUUUGGAAAGAGAGUUAACAGUACGUGAAAUUGUUGGAAGGGAAACGCUUGAAGUCAGACUUGCUUGCCGGAGCUUGCUUCGGUUUGCAGGCCAGCAUCAGUUUUCCGGGGUGGAUAAUGACGGUUUGAAGGUAGCAGUCUCGGCUGUGUUAUAGCUUUCCGUUGGAUACAUCCUGGGGGACUGAGGAACGCAGCGUGCUUUUUGCGAAAGACUCGUCUUUUUCACGCUUAGGAUGCUGGUGGAAUGGCUUUAAACGACCCGUCUUGA
rnacentral:rRNA from 1 species